UACAGAGGUCUCAAGCGUUGUUCGGAUUCAUUGGGCGUAAAGGGGUGCGUUGGCGGCGCGGUAAGUCGGGUGUGAAAUCUCGGAGCUUAACUCCGAAACUGCAUUCGAUACUGCCGUGCUUGAGGACUGGAGAGGAGACUGGAAUUUACGGUGUAGCGGUGAAAUGCGUAGAUAUCGUAAGGAAGACCAGUGGCGAAGGCGGGUCUCUGGACAGUUCCUGACGUGAGGCACGAAGGUCAGGGGAGCAAACGGG
rnacentral:rRNA from 1 species